rnacentral:piRNA from 1 species
UGGUGAAGACCUUCGCUGCUCUGAA